CCUACGGGUGACUGCAGUGAGGAAUAUUGGUCAAUGGACGCAAGCCUGAACCAGCCAAGUAGCGUGAAGGAUGACUGCCCUACGGGUUGUAAACUUCUUUUAUAAAGGAAUAAAGUGAGGCACGUGUGCCUUUUUGUAUGUACUUUAUGAAUAAGGAUCGGCUAACUCCGUGCCAGCAGCCGCGGUAAUACGGAGGAUCCGAGCGUUAUCCGGAUUUAUUGGGUUUAAAGGGAGCGUAGAUGGUUUGUUAAGUCAGUUGUGAAAGCUUGCGGCUCAACCGUAAAAUUGCAAUUGAUACUGGCAGUCUUGAGUACAGUUGAGGUAGGCGGAAUGCGUGGUGUAGCGGUGAAAUGCUUAGAUAUCAUGAAGAACUCCGAUUGCGAAGGCAGCUUACCAAACUGCCACUGACAUUGAUGCUCGAAAGUGUGGGGAUCAAACAGGAUUAGAUACCCUAGUAGUC
rnacentral:rRNA from 1 species